GACGAACGCUGGCGGCGUGCUUAACACAUGCAAGUCGAACGGAAAGGCCCUGCUUUUGUGGGGUGCUCGAGUGGCGAACGGGUGAGUAACACGUGAGUAACCUGCCCUUGACUUUGGGAUAACUUCAGGAAACUGGGGCUAAUACCGGAUAGGAGCUCCUGCUGCAUGGUGGGGGUUGGAAAGUUUCGGCGGUUGGGGAUGGACUCGCGGCUUAUCAGCUUGUUGGUGGGGUAGUGGCUUACCAAGGCUUUGACGGGUAGCCGGCCUGAGAGGGUGACCGGCCACAUGGGGACUGAGAUACGGCCCAGACUCCUACGGGAGGCAGCAGUGGGGAAUAUUGCACAAUGGGCGGAAGCCUGAUGCAGCAACGCCGCGUGCGGGAUGACGGCCUUAGGGUUGUAAACCGCUUUCGCCUGUGACGAAGCGUGAGUGACGGUAAUGGGUAAAGAAGCACCGGCUAACUACGUG
rnacentral:rRNA from 1 species